UCUCAAGUGAAAACAGUAAAUUUGAAGGCCUCAGUGCUCAACACCGCUAUGUCGACUAACUCUGGUCGACUAUGUUCCUAGGUACUAAAGUAACUAAACUCUGCUAUUUUGAAAUAUUUUCUCCAUCGUCUCCCCCCCCCCCUGUGCAUAUGCAAGAAUUAUCAUAAAUUAUUAGAAAUUCAAUUGUCACGGGGGGUUGUGCAUUGUUUGAACAUAUUUAGACAAUUUAGUAGUGUUGUACAGUGAUAGUUCUGUAGCUGUGUUUUGUACUAUAAAUUUGACAGGUUUUUGGAUAAUUUUUCUAUAUUUCUAACACGAAAAUGUGAAGUUUAAUUGUAUAGUCUUAUUGAGUAGCUACAAAGGAUAUAUUUUUGCUUCAAAUCUUUUCCAAAGCAGUUUGCUAUGACAGUAAAUUGUCGAAAUCUUUUAAAUCCAUGACAACACGGUCUAGUGCGGCGUUUACCGAGGGCCAAAAGAAGGAUGCUUUACGGCUUGCCAAAGGAUUGUUUGAGUCCAAAGGUAUGUUGUUGCUUUAAGC